rnacentral:rRNA from 1 species
CGCAUCUGUGCAUGCAGCAUAUCAAUAAGCGGAGGAAAAGAAACUAACAAGGAUCCCCUUAGUAACGGCGAGUGAAGCGGGAAGAGCUCAAAUUUGAAAUCUUAAAGGGUUUCCCUUUACGAAUUGUAGUUUAAAGAAGUGUUUUCUGUUGAGGUUUUGGUAAAAGUUCUUUGGAAUAGGACAUCAUAGAGGGUGAGAAUCCCGUAUUUGACCAUUAUUUUCAGCUUUGUGAUACACUUUCAAAGAGUCGGAUUGUUUGGGAAUGCAGUCCAAAAUGGGUGGUAAAUUUCAUCUAAAGCUAAAUAUUGGCGAGAGACCGAUAGCGAACAAGUACCGUGAGGGAAAGAUGAAAAGAACUUUGAAGAGAGAGUUAAACAGUACGUGAAAUUGUCAAAAGGGAAGCGUUUGACACCAGUGUCGUUUUCUCGAAAAUCAAUUAAAAAUGGCUCGAUUUUGUAUUGCUGAGACCUUAAAAGCUCACUGUACAUUUUUCGUGUCUUUUUUAAUGCACUUUUCGUUUAACAAGUCAACAUCAGUUUCUUUUGUUGUAAAAGGGUCAUUGGAAGGUGGCUUUCUUUUCGGAGAAAGUGUUUAUAGCCUUUGGCCUCUGCAAUCGGAGAAACUGAGGUCUGCAGCGUAGACUCUUCGGGGUUAGAUACAUUUGUGCUAAGUUAUAGCUUUUUAUAGACAACUUGUUGACUAUAAUUAGUCUUGUAGCUUACUCGCUUAUGCUAUUUUACCUACGCUUAGGAUGUUGAUAGUCACAGCGUGUAC